rnacentral:rRNA from 1 species
UUAUAUUCUGUAGCAAGGUUAACCGUAUAGGGGAGCCGCAGGGAAACCGAGUCUUAACCGGGCGUUAAGUUGCAGGGUAUAGACCCGAAACCCGGUGAUCUAGCCAUGGGCAGGUUGAAGGUUGGGUAACACUAACUGGAGGACCGAACCGACUAAUGUUGAAAAAUUAGCGGAUGACCUGUGGCUGGGGGUGAAAGGCCAAUCAAACCGGGAGAUAGCUGGUUCUCCCCGAAAGCUAUUUAGGUAGCGCCUCGUGAAUUCAUCUCCGGGGGUAGAGCACUGUUUCGGCUAGGGGGCCAUCCCGGCUUACCAACCCGAUGCAAACUGCGAAUACCGGAGAAUGUUAUCACGGGAGACACACGGCGGGUGCUAACGUCCGUCGUGAAGAGGGAAACAACCCAGACCGCCAGCUAAGGUCCCAAAGUCAUGGUUAAGUGGGAAACGAUGUGGGAAGGCCCAGACAGCCAGGAUGUUGGCUUAGAAGCAGCCAUCAUUUAAAGAAAGCGUAAUAGCUCACUGGUCGAGUCGGCCUGCGCGGAAGAUGUAACGGGGCUAAACCAUGCACCGAAGCUGCGGCAGCGAACGUAUCACCCAAGACAACUUUACGGAGUUAACGAUUGACGGAGCGAAGCGACGUCAAAGCGUUCAUUAAAGUCGAGUUGGCUUAGGGAUACGUUCGUUGGGUAGGGGAGCGUUCUGUAAGCCUGUGAAGGUGGCCUGUGAGGGUUGCUGGAGGUAUCAGAAGUGCGAAUGCUGACAUAAGUAACGAUAAAGCGGGUGAAAAGCCCGCUCGCCGGAAGACCAAGGGUUCCUGUCCAACGUUAAUCGGGGCAGGGUGAGUCGACCCCUAAGGCGAGGCCGAAAGGCGUAGUCGAUGGGAAACGGGUUAAUAUUCCCGUACUUGGUGUUACUGCGAAGGGGGGACGGAGAAGGCUAUGUUGGCCGGGCGACGGUUGUCCCGGUUUAAGCGUGUAGGUGUGUGUUCCAGGUAAAUCCGGUUCACUUUAACACUGAGGCGUGAUGACGAGGCACUACGGUGCUGAAGCAACAAAUGCCCUGCUUCCAGGAAAAGCCUCUAAGCAUCAGGUAACAUCAAAUCGUACCCCAAACCGACACAGGUGGUCAGGUAGAGAAUACCAAGGCGCUUGAGAGAACUCGGGUGAAGGAACUAGGCAAAAUGGUGCCGUAACUUCGGGAGAAGGCACGCUGACA